UUGAGGUAUUUAAAAAAAAAAUGGAGAAUUAAUGAAAAAUGUCAAAUGCUUUCAGUGGUUACUAAGGGAUCUUUGAUUUUUACAUCUUUUUAUAUAAAAAUGUUCCUGAAUAUUAGAUGUAGAACAUCUAAGCUGUGGUUUCAAGAUACGUUCUCCUCUAGAAGCAUCAAAGGUGCUACUGAAUGGUCAAAAUCUGCUUCAGCAGGGCUCAGUCAGAGUUUUUCCGUCUGACAGCUCAACAAACACAAGGAGUUUCAUGUUCUGCUUCAAUAUUAAAUGUUGCUUUCUAAAUCACAGAAACUGCUUCCCACCAAACCUGACUUCUGCUUUACUUCAGAGACCUGCCAAAGGAAAGCCCUGCUCCUGUCAAUGACUUGUGAAGAGCGAUUCCUCAUUUCUGAGAUCCCUGCCAGGAACGGGAGAUGUACCAAGAGUUUCUAAGUUCCUCAGGCAAUCAGAACAUGCCCCGAGCCCCUUCUGCAAUCGAUGUCCUCCUGAGGAUGAUGUGUCACCACUCACAGACUGAUCUCAGGAAGGACAGAUCAAUUCUGCAGUGAGUCCUGGUGCUCCUGUGAACAAUCAGCACUCCUGGUUCCCAGGGCUCUUCCUUUUCAGCAAGGCCUGAACACGUCAAGUCACUCCUGCACGUUCCCUGCAGUAUUUGGCUGUCUCAAGACAGACAAGGGGAUCUUCAAAACUUUCUGGAUUGAUUCAGCAGGAGACUCAUGGGAGAUGGAAAUGCUUUGACAGCAAGCGCUCUCUACAGGGUCCAGCCAUGGUGGGACAGGAAAAGUCUCCUCCUCCCACCUUACUUUUCUUUGUUUUGCUGUAAACCUUCCCUCUCUCCCCAUCUCUGGGAGUCAGCACCCACAUCCCUUUGUCUCUGGAGGGACUGGGAGCCAGACCUUCCUCUCUUUUUUUCCCUCCCUGUGCAUGGAGUUUGAGUCGCGCACAUGCGGAAUUCAGUGAGCCGAGAUCUUCGCUUUCAUCAGAUGUGUCUCGUCAGAAACAGGCUGACACCCUGGGCACCAAAACAGAUCACAGGAGCUACAGCACAAAGCAGGCUCUGCCACAGCUGCAGGCAGGAGUCUGUCAGGGAGAGUGAGGGAGCAAGAAGGGUGCUGAUCUAACAGACAAAGGGGGAAGGAAGGAAGAGUGAAAAGUGGAAGAAACUGGAAGAGACUUCAAGGGACACGACGCUGUUUGAUGGGGCAGAAGCUGAGAGACAAGUGAGCUGCUGUGCAGGGUGAUUGCAUUCUUCCAAGAUGAUUUGUAAAAGGGGAAAAGUUGUAGCUGAAACGCUUUGAUUGGCCUUUAUCUCACUCUGCCUGUGCACUUGUGUCAUUCAUUUCAUGUAAUAACCUCUACUAAACAGUCAGAGGCUGCAGUGUAAUUUUGUUGACCUGAAACUAAGGCAAAAAGCUGCAGUUGUGGAAUUUGGAGCUGGAAUAGUGCCUAACUGGCUGAAGGGCAAAAUAAAGAAGUAAAGAUCAAUGACAGCUCUUCAUGUCACGUGAAAAGUCAAGGCUCAUGCAUCAGGGAACUUCAAAACAAUCAGAUUCAUGUAAGUUUAGCCUAUGUCUCAAUCCAAAAAUUACAUUAAAAUUAAAUUCCCUGUUUCUAAUUGUCAUUCAGUGGAGCUUAGAUGAACCU